GAUGCAUAUUUCAGUUCUUUUUCAAUAUGUACACUGAACGACAGGCCCAGUAUGGGCCGCCUCGUCCUCAACUCAGUUCUGGAUGGACAGCUCAACUACAUCAUGAGUGCUUUGCAGCUCCCUGCGGGGGCAGUGCACACCAUAGACAAGAAACGCCGUGGCUUCCUGUGGAAUGGCUCCAAUGAUGCUUCAGGAGCAAAAUGCUUGGUUCCCUGGGACGCCGUGUGCUCCCCACGCCAGUCUGGAGGCCUGGGGGUGAAGAACAUCCAUAAGCAAAACACUUGCCUGCUCCUAAAACUGCUUCACCGCCUGUACACUUCUACAACUUCCUCUUGGGCUUGCUGGGCUCGGCAACAAACAUCCCUAACAACUCUCACCGCACCUUUGAAAAGUCUACACUGGAAAUGCCUAGGGAAGUUUUUCCCCUUUAGGGCUUGUUCGGUUAUUUUCAAUCCAUAAGGAUUGGAGGGGAUUGGUAAGGAUUGAGAGAGAUUUUGACUUACUAGGGAUUGAAACCCCCUCAAUUUAUAUGUAUUGGGGUAGAACCGAACAAGCCCUUAGGUUAAGUUUGGGAACCCCGUUUUCCCAAGGGAUUUCCAUUUUCCCAAGAGAAAUUAGUUCAUUUUCCUUUGGGAAAAUAGGAAUCACUUAGAAAAAUGGAGUUCCCAGUUUGGAAACUUAAAUCCCUUCGGGAUUGAAGUGGAUUGAAGAGGAAAUUAGUUCAUUUCCAUCUCAACCUCUCCAAUCCCGAAUGGGAUUUGAGGCAAAGUAGCCCUUACCGAGCCAUAUCUACCUGUGAUGUUGGUGAUGGGCACAACACCUCCUCUGGCACUCUGACGACGACUUCGCCACCUUGUUUCAGAACCUCUUCAGCCAUGUCAGGGUUAAAGAUGUAAGCGUGCAUGACCAGCUUGAGCAGGGCCUGACCUCCUCCCUCCUAGUCCAAGGUUGUCUACUCCUGGCUUUCACUGCAGGACCAAUCUCCCUCGCAGGUAUCAAACUUCAUUUGGAGCAGCUACGCCUCACCCAGAGUCAAAUUCUUCACCUGGCUGGCAUCCCACGAUCGCCUCUAGAGCCGGAGCAACCUCUGCAAGAAGAAGAUUGUCCCUGACGAUAUCUGUGAAGUUUGCUCCUUUGGGACUGAAAAUGCAUCACACAUCCUGUUCCAUUGCGACUUUGCCCGCGCCUUGUGGUCUGCUGUGGAUGCCAAAAUAGACGCUUCCUCCCUCAGCUCCGGUAUCCAUCUGCUUCCCCGUCCAAGGGCCAUCCCCAGUGAAGCUUUCCCCACCUACAUCGCUUUGUGCUGCUGGCAUCUUUGGAAGCGGCGAAACCAGUUCGUCUUUAGAAAGGAGCUGACUUCAGUUGUCUGCACUCUACAUGCUUGCCUGGCUGAUGCCUGUCUUUGGGCGUACAAGCUAAAAACUUGUAACAAGAGUCUCACUCUGGCCUCGUGUGAAUCCUUCACGCUUGCCAUUACCCGUGUAAUCCUCUGUCUAUGUACUCCCUCAGGGCGUUUUAGCCAUGCCAUUGCAAUAUAUCAGGUGGGGGAUGUCCCCCUUCACU